rnacentral:misc_RNA from 1 species
UACGAAGGGCCCGAGCGUUAAUCGGAAUCACUAGGCUCAAAGGGUGCGCGGGCGGACCUGUAAGUACGUUGUGAAAUCCCACGGCUCAACCGUGGAACUGCUUCGUAAACUACAGGUCUUGAGGACGGUAGAGGUUGCCGGAACUCUAGGUGGAGCGGUGAAAUGCGUAGAUAUCUAGAGGAACGCCAAAGGCGAAGGCAGGCAACUGGGCCGUUUCUGACGCUCAGGCACGAAAGCGUGGGUAGCGAACAGG